CGCCAGGGAAUUACGAGCGCAAGCUUAAAAUCCAAAGGAUUUGACGGUGUCCCACCCACCUAGAGGAGCCUGUUCUAUAAUCGAUAAUCCUCGAUAUACCCAACCAUUUCUUGCUUUUCAGCCUGUAUACCUCCGUCGUAAGCUUACCAUUUGAAUGUAAAAAAGUAAGUUUAAGGAUCAUUCAUCAACACGUCAGGUCAAGGUGCAGCCAAUGUAAUGGAAAGUAAUGGGCUACAAUUUCUAUAAUAGAACAAACGAAACACUGCAUGAAAAAUUAGUCAUGAAGGCGGAUUUAGUAGUAAAAAAAGAAUAGAGNGCUUUUUUUAACAAGGCCCUGGGACGUGUACAAACCGCCCGUCACCCUCUUCAAAAGUNAAACAUAAGUUUUUAACAUAUCAUCAACACUAUUGAAGAGGCNNGUCGUAACAUGGUAAGUGUACUGGAAAGUGCACUUGGCAAA
rnacentral:rRNA from 1 species